AUGGAUCGCCCGCCACAUCUCGACUUCGACCUCAACGAGCCGCCCCCGCCGUCGCCACCGCCGGCGGUUCACCAGCCGCCCCCGCGCGAGUUCGCUGCCGCCAUGCCCAUUGUUGCUCCUCCUCUUCCGCCGCCGCCGCCACCACAGCUCCGGCCUCCCGCCAACGUGCAGGCCCACCUGCUGCUGCCGCACCAUGCCCGCGAGCUAGCGCUGGCGUACCACCGUGCGGAAUCCUGGAGGCUAGCUGCUGCUACGGCCAGUGCGCCCGCGACCGCUGGUUCAUCGCUGGAGGUCCCGCCGCCGCCGGUUCUCCAGUCGCCCGCUUUUGCUCCUCCGCCGCCGCGGCCAGCCCAGCUCCCGCCUCCCGCCAACGUGCAGACCCAGCUGCUGGUCGUGCACCAAGCCCGCGAGAUAGUGCUGGCGUACCACCGUGGGGAAUUGUGGUGGAGGUCGGCCAUUGCGGCCGCGACGGCAGGUUCGUCGGUGGAGGGGCUGCCUCCAGCGCCAGCGCAGCAUCCGGGAGUAGCGGGGUGGGGCGGGAACCCGUGCGCGUCCUGCGGCCUCCCCGAGCUGCCGGGGACAACCGUAAUCUGCGACGCCUGCGAACGUGGGUUCCACCAAGCCUGCGUCCACGUCGUGCGGCGGCCUCCGGUGGGCGUGAACGAGGGGUGGAUGUGCCCGGAGUGUGCGCCAGGAGCCGUGCCGCUCGACAUCUCCGUCCGAGACAUCACCAGGCAGUUAUGUCAGCUCCCUCUUGAUAAUUUACUUACGGUUUUACAUCUGUUUUUGUUCAGCGAAUUUUAUAUGUAG
rnacentral:rRNA from 1 species